AUGGUGGACAAUCUACAUCCCGCCAUCCUCUCCGCCAUUCCCACCAUAUUUGGCUUGGCGCAUGACACUGGCCAUGAGUGUUCAAUGUGCUAUGGAGAACUUUGUGCAUGCUUUCCCAUUCUCCAACACAAUAAAUCUGAGUAUAUGCACCUAAGAAGCCUCUUACAGUCACUGCCAAACCAAUACCAUAUAUGGGUUGAUAUUUCUAUGGAUUUUGUGCAUGGCCUUUCAUGGGAGUGCGGAAAACUAGUCAUUCUUUCAAUGGUGGAUCGUUUCUCAAUGAUGGCACACUUCAUUCUUCUUGUUCAUCCCCUACCAGACAGUAAAAGUCGCACAUGCUUUCUUCACCGACAUUGUUUGGCUUCAUAA
rnacentral:rRNA from 1 species